CGUCAGUAUCCGCCAAGGCACAAUUCAGACAAGUGUCAAUUGUGUCUCUCGCAGCCAAAUACAAUGGAUUUGAUGUUGAAGUGGCUCGGGAAACCAAGAUGCCUCGUUAUAUGUCUGUUCCUCGUCUUGGUUGCAAUUGUAAUAAUGCACAAACACAAAAGAGUCAUAAUAAAGAUCAAGAAUCAGUACAUAUACAAUGAUACCGAAUAUUAUAACGCUGCUGAAAUGAA